rfam:Strongylocentrotus purpuratus Contig76882_fixed, whole genome shotgun sequence.
CCAACAGUCCUUUUUAGGACUACAAACACACUCACGAAAAAAGAUU